rnacentral:rRNA from 1 species
AUUGAACGCUGGCGGCAUGCCUUACACAUGCAAGUCGAACGGCAGCACGGGUGCUUGCCCCUGGUGGCGAGUGGCGAACGGGUGAGUAAUACAUCGGAACAUGUCCUGUAGUGGGGGAUAGCCCGGCGAAAGCCGGAUUAAUACCGCAUACGAUCCACGGAUGAAAGCGGGGGACCUUCGGGCCUCGCGCUAUAGGGUUGGCCGAUGGCUGAUUAGCUAGUUGGUGGGGUAAAGGCCUACCAAGGCGACGAUCAGUAGCUGGUCUGAGAGGACGACCAGCCACACUGGGACUGAGACACGGCCCAGACUCCUACGGGAGGCAGCAGUGGGGAAUUUUGGACAAUGGGCGAAAGCCUGAUCCAGCAAUGCCGCGUGUGUGAAGAAGGCCUUCGGGUUGUAAAGCACUUUUGUCCGGAAAGAAAUCCUUGACUCUAAUACAGUCGGGGGAGGACGGUACCGGAAGAAUAAGCACCGGCUAACUACGU